UUUCCUGCUUAGUAGUCUAAAAUAAGAGCUGACUCCCGGGCCUAUCCUAGAGUUUGUUAGUUUGUUUCCACCGUGUGGGACAGACUGGUUCAACUGUAAACAAACCAACAGGGUUUUCAUGUUUGGUCACAUUUUCUGAGAACCACUGGAGUGAAGUCUAAGAAAUGUGGAGAUGGGGAAGCCUAACUUCCUUGUGUUGGAGAGCGCUCACCUGAAACAGACUACCUCAACCUUCUGAGGAACAACCCUGCCCCAAAUCUUUGCUCAGAGAACCCCUCUUGACUGGAACACAACCUUUACAAACAUGGAACGCAGCUUCAGUGUGGUGGUUAGACAGUGCCUGCUGUGGAAAGGGAUCUUGCUCUGAAGCCUUAAACUCAGGGUGAUUCUCCUGCCUCAGCCUACCAAAUGCUGAGAUCACAGGUAUGAGCUAUCACAUAGCCCCCAUCACCGAACUCUCCACUUAAACAGACAGACUGGGUAGUUGGUAAUUUACUAAGUAAAUUGUCACUUUACUUCCUUACUGUGUUUUGUGCAUUUUUUUUUUUUUUUUUUUUUUUUUUGCAACACGGCGUUUAGUCCUCUACGAGCGACUUUCCUUCUCUCUCACCUCCCCAGCCUGCAUGUUUUCCUCAGUACCUGCCCUGGAUAUAAAACCCCUGUGCUUAGACAAGGUGCAGGGAACUGGCACCUCUCUUCAAGGCCUUUUUAUCUAAAAUAAGCGGUACCGGGUUCCUUUUAUUCAACGACUCUUCCCCCACCUAAAAAUUGACCUUGCAAACCUGGACACCAUUUGAAUUAAAAAAAAAAUCACAAAAUUCUACCUUCUGGAAAUGCAUGCCAGAGGGCAGCGCCGUCUCUUUACCUGACUGCUGUUUUCAUUAUUGUAAAUAAUGAAAUGGGAGAAGGAGAAGGAGGAGCAUGUAAGCAAGCGCAAAGUCCAGACGCCUCUCCUCAAUGCAGACAUCGAGUUCCCAAACGCAUACCAACCAAAAAUACAGAUUUUACUGUGUUUGAUUUUUAAAUAGAAAUCUGAGAUAUAGGGUGACAGUUAUUGGUAUUUAAAUGAUGAAAUGAUAAAUAAGUUCCCCCGGUGAUGAAAAUAGCAACAGAAUCAGUAAAACAAUUACAAGCAUCUCCCUGCUUCCCUGCUCCAAGUUCACCACAAUCUGGCACACACACCUUUUGCAAAAGACCUGGCCCCCAGCAGCACUCUGACUCCACGCCACAGGGGGCAGGCAAAUGGAUAAAAAUUAAUUUUUCUUUUAAUUUUCCCUUUCAUUUCCACCGUUUUCCAACAGAAAAGCAAAAAAGCAAAUGUUUUAACUCUAGCACUUUAAGCUCCUCUCUAGACAAGUUCAUUCUCCGCAUUCAAGGCCGACCGUAGAGAGCUACUUACAUGAAG